rnacentral:rRNA from 1 species
AUGGCUAUGACGCCGGCCAAGGUGGCCCGUGGGGCUGACCAUGGGCGGUGGUCGGAAGGCGGUGGCCUCUCCCCCCAGGAGUGGCGCACCAUCAAGCGGCGCGGGGUCGAGCUCCUCCGUCGCGCGAAGGACCUGGAGGCCUGUCUGAGGCGACUGAGGGAGCGGGCGGCGGAGUUCUUGGGAGGUGGAUCCAAGUCCUUUAAGGAUGCUGAGAAAAAGAUUAAGGAGAGUCCAUCGGUGGAGGAGCUGCUGAUUCCGUUGGCUCCCAAUGCUCUCCCACCAAAUCUGGAGAUUAAUGGAGUAAAACGGAAAGGAAUUCUUACGGAAAAUCAGUGCCAAAUGGAGUCCAAACGCUAUGAAAACGUUUUGACAUUUUUUUCUGGACAUAAGAGACCCUGGAAACUUCGGGAGGAGACCAGAGAACGUACAAGGAAAUGGCAAGGCAACAGGGCGCACCCUGGGGUGCACCCUAUUACCUCAUGGGACCUCGAGGCUCCGUCUAACCUAAUUCCACUUCAAUAA